AUUGAACGCUGGCGGCAUGCUUUACACAUGCAAGUCGAACGGUAACAGGUUAAGCUGACGAGUGGCGAACGGGUGAGUAAUGCAUCGGAACGCGCCCGAUCGUGGGGGAUAACGCAGCGAAAGCUGCGCUAAUACCGCAUACGAUCUGAGGAUGAAAGCGGGGGACCGUAAGGCCUCGCGCGAUCGGAGCGGCCGAUGUCAGAUUAGGUAGUUGGGGGGGUAAGGGCUCACCAAGCCGACGAUCUGUAGCUGGUUUGAGAGGACGACCAGCCACACUGGGACUGGGACACGGCCCAGACUUCUACGGGAGGCAGCAGUGGGGAAUUUUGGACAAUGGGCGCAAGCCUGAUCCAGCAAUGCCGCGUGCAGGAAGAAGGCCUUCGGGUUGUAAACUGCUUUUGUACGGAGCGAAAAGGCUCUCUCUAAUACAGGGGGCUCAUGACGGUACCGUAAGAAUAAGCACCGGCUAACUACGUGCCAGCAGCCGCCGUAA
rnacentral:rRNA from 1 species